GAUGAACGCUGACAGAAUGCUUAACACAUGCAAGUCUUUGGCGAAGCUGUGCUUGCACAGCCUAGCCAAGGCGGACGGGUGAGUAACGCGUAAGGAACUUGCCCUGCAGUCAGGGAUAACAGACGGAAACGACUGAUAAGACCUGGUAAAGUCAGGCGGACUCAUGUCCAGCCUGGUGAAAAGAGAUGCUGCAGGAGAGCCUUGCGUCCUAUUAGCUUGUUGGUGGGGUAACGGCCCACCAAGGCGAUGAUAGGUAGCCGGCCUGAGAGGGUGGACGGCCACAAGGGGACUGAGAUACGGCCCUUACUCCUACGGGAGGCAGCAGUGGGGAAUAUUGGACAAUGGGGGCAACCCUGAUCCAGCAAUUCUGUGUGCACGAUGAAGGUUUUCGGAUUGUAAAGUGCUUUCAGCAGGGAAGAAAAAAUGACGGUACCUGCAGAAGAAGCGACGGCUAAAUACGUG
rnacentral:rRNA from 1 species